UACAGAGGCCACGAGCGUUAGGCGGAAUCACUGGGCUUAAAGCGUGUGUAGGUGGAUGGGUAAGUACCUUGUGAAAUCCCACGGCUCAACCGUGGAACUGCUUGGUAUACUGCCUGUCUUGAGGCACUCAGGGGCGAGCGGAACAAAUGGUGGAGCGGUGAAAUGCGUAGAUAUCAUUUGGAACGCCAAUGGUGAAGACAGCUCGCUGGGGGUGUCCUGACGCUGAGGCGCGAAAGCCAGGGGAGCGAACGGG
rnacentral:rRNA from 1 species